CAAGUACUGGUCUCAGCAGAUUGAGGAGAGCACCACAGUGGUCAUCACACAGUCUGCUGAGGUUGGAGCUGC
rfam:Homo sapiens chromosome 13, GRCh38 reference primary assembly.